rnacentral:rRNA from 1 species
GAUGAACGCUGGCGGCGUGCCUAAUACAUGCAAGUCGAGCGAACGGACGAGACGCUUGCUUCUCUGAUGUUAGCGGCGGACGGGUGAGUAACACGGGGAUAACCUACCUAUAAGACUGGGAUAACUUCGGGAAACCGGAGCUAAUACCGGAUAAUAUUUUGAUCUUCAUGGUUCAAAAGUGAAAGACGGUAUUGCUGUAACUUAUCGAUAGAUCCGCGCUGCAUUAGCUAGUUGGUAAGGUAACGGCUUACCAAGGAAACGAUGCAUAGCCGACCUGGGAGGGUGAUCGGCCACACCUGAACUGAGACACGGUCCAGACUCCUACGGGAGGCAGCAGUAGGGAAUCUUCCGCAAUGGGCGAAAGCCUUACGGAACAACCCCGCGUGAGUGAUGAAGGUCUUCGGAUCGUAAAACUCUGUUAUUAGGGAAGAACAUAUGUGUAAGUAACUGUGCACAUCUUGACGGUACCUAAUCAGAGAGCCAGGGCUAACUACGUG